rnacentral:tRNA from 1 species
GGGAAUGUGGCUUAGUGGUAGAGUGCUUGUCUAGCAUGCAUGAAGCCCUAGGUUCGAUUCCUCAAUACCA